GAUGAACGCUAGCGGCAGGCCUAACACAUGCAAGUCGAGGGGCAGCACAGGAACAGCAAUGUUUUGGUGGCGACCGGCGGACGGGUGCGUAACGCGUAUGCAACCUACCUUUAACAGGGGGAUAACGGAGAGAAAUUUCCACUAAUACCCCAUAACAUCGAUCAAGGCAUCUUGAUUGGUUGAAAACUCCGGUGGUUAAAGAUGGGCAUGCGUUGCAUUAGGUAGUUGGUGAGGUAAUGGCUCACCAAGCCUACGAUACAUAGGGGGACUGAGAGGUUAGCCCCCCACACUGGUACUGAGACACGGACCAGACUCCUACGGGAGGCAGCAGUGAGGAAUAUUGGUCAAUGGGGGCAACCCUGAACCAGCCAUGCCGCGCGCAGGAAGACGGCUCUAUGAGUUGUAAACUGCUUUUAAACAGGGAUAAAGCACAGUAUGUAUACUGUGUUGAAGGUACUGUAAGAAUAAGGAUCGGCUAACUCCGUGCCAGCCGCCGCAGUAA
rnacentral:rRNA from 1 species